GAUGAACGCUAGCUACAGGCUUAACACAUGCAAGUCGAGGGGAAACGACAUCGAAAGCUUGCUUUUGAUGGGCGUCGACCGGCGCACGGGUGAGUAACGCGUAUCCAACCUGCCCAUCACUUGGGAAUAACCUUGCGAAAGUAAGACUAAUACCCAAUGAUAUCCCACGAAGGCAUCGGAAUGGGAUUAAAGAUUUAUCGGUGAUGGAUGGGGAUGCGUCUGAUUAGCUUGUUGGCGGGGUAACGGCCCACCAAGGCAACGAUCAGUAGGGGUUCUGAGAGGAAGGUCCCCCACAUUGGAACUGAGACACGGUCCAAACUCCUACGGGAGGCAGCAGUGAGGAAUAUUGGUCAAUGGGCGAGAGACUGAACCAGCCAAGUAGCGUGCAGGAAGACGGCCCUAUGGGUUGUAAACUGCUUUUAUAAGGGAAUAAAGUGGGUCACGUGUGACUUUUUGCAUGUACCUUAUGAAUAAGGACCGGCUAAGUCCGUG
rnacentral:rRNA from 1 species